UCUAGUUAAUUCUACUAGUAGUUAUAUACUUAUCUUAAAGAUUAAGCUAUAUAUGUCUAAGUAUAAGUAAUUAUAUAGUAAAACUAUAAAUAGCUUAUUAUAUAAGUUAUUAUUUAUUUAAUAGUACUUUACUACUUAGAUAACUAUAGUAAUUCUAGAGCUAAUAUAUACUAAAAAUCCUAACUUUAGAAGGGAUGUAUUUAUUAGAUUAAAAACUAAUACCCCCUAGGCUCCUUAGUGAUUUAUAAUAACUCUUUAAAUUAUAUAGCCUUAUACUAGUAAUAGUUUAUUUAAAUUUCUUCUCUAUUAACUUUUAAUAUUUAGGUAUUAGCUAAAUAUAGUUAUAAUAAGUAAUAGAGGGUUAGGGCUUAACCCUAGAGAAGGAGCCUAAGAAACGGCUACUAUAUCUAAGGAAGGUAGUAGGCGUAUAAAUUACCUAAUCCCGAUUUAGGGAGGUAGUAAUAAUAAAUACUAAUAUAGGGCUCUUUUAGGUCUUAUAAUUAGAAUAAGUAUAAUUUAAAUCUCUUAAUAAAGAAUAAUUAGAGGGUAAGUCUAGUACUAGUAACUAUAGUAAUUCUAGCUCUAAUAGUGUAUAUUAAAGUUAUUAUAGUUAAAAAGCUUAUAGUUAAACCUUAGGCCUAGCUAGCUAGUCCGCCUUACUAUAUACACUAGUCUAGCUAGGCCUUUCUCUCUAUAGAACCCUAUACCCUUUACUAGGCGUAGUAGGGAAAUAGGACGUUUACUUUAAAAAAAUUAGAGUACUCUAGGCAGGCCUAUACUUAAAUAUAUUAGUAUAGAAUAAUAAAAUAGGACGUAUAGUUCUAUUUUAUUAGUUUCUAGGACCACUAUAAUAAUUAAUAGGGAUAGUUAGGGGUAUUAGUAUUUAAUUAUUAGAGGUGAAAUUCUUAGAUUUAUUAAAGACUAACUACUAUAAAAGUAUUUACUAAGGAUGUUUUUAUUAAUUAGGAAUAAAAGUUAGAGGAUUAAAGAUAAUUAGAUACUAUUAUAGUCUUAACUAUAAACUAUACUAACUAGGGAUUAGACAAUAUUAUUUUUUAAUACAUUUAGCACCUUAUAAGAAAUUAAAGUGCUUAGGCUCUAGGGGGAGUAUAGUUAUAAGGCUAAAACUUAAAGAAAUUAAUAGAAGGGCACUACUAGGGGUAAACCACUUUAUAUAGCUAUAGUAGCUCUACUCUAGAAAGCCGACCACUUAAAAGGGUUAGUAGUGUUUCUAUUAGCGCCUUAGUGUAAUAACUAGCUAGUCUUAUUAGGAGCUACACUCUUAGGAGGCGACACCCUUAAAUUAUAGGGAACUCUAAUAAGCUAACAAUACUAAGCGGGCACUAAAAGGGCGCCUAUAGCUAGGUUAACCCCCUAGGUACAGUAAGAACACGUUAGAUUAGACAAUCUAUAGCUAAGCCUCACCACUAUAGGGUGUAGGGAAGGUUUAGAGACUUAAUAGGGGUAAGUAUAAGGAACUUUAUACUUAAGAUAAAGUCUGUCUAUAUAUAAAAGUGUAUAGUAGUAACCUAUAAAUAGGAGCCUAUAGCUUAAUUUAACUUAAUAUAGGGAAACUCACUAGGUCUAGAUAUAAUAAGGAUUAAUAGAUUAAGAGCUCUUUCUUAAUUUUAUAGGUGGUAGUGUAUAGCCGUUCUUAGUUAGUAGAGUAAUUUGUCUACUUAAUUAUAAUAAUAAAUAAGACCUUAACCUACUAAAUAGCCUAUAUUGCUUUAGUAGUACACUAGCUUCUUAGAGGGACUAUUAGCUUAAGCUAAUAGAAGUUUAAGGUA
rnacentral:rRNA from 1 species